CAUGCGGCGGUUGCCAUGACCCUCGAUUCACAAUCUCGGAUCGGAGGUGUGACAGCUAUUAAUCAGACAAAAUACGGCAUCCAAUUGCUAACGCUAAAUAAGUAGAUUAGAGGCAUGGUUUCAAACCUCUUUUGCUCUUUUCUCUUUCUUAUAUCUAUAUCUCAUCAUGCUCUAGUAUAUCUAUUCAGCAAGCCCCAUGUGAUCCGGUAGUAUGGACUGAAGAAAGAGCAUGGGGA
rnacentral:lncRNA from 1 species